UAAAACUUCCGUUUUUAUUGUAGUGAAUGCCUCAAUAAAAACGGGAAAUUUUCGAGCUAAAUUAAAAAAUAGUGUCAUAGCUCUUAUACCCAAGGUUUCAAAACCGUGUACAGUAAGUGACCUCCAUCCUAUCAACUUAUUACUAGUUGUGGAUAAAAUUCUAGAGACGGUUGUUUGUGGACAGUUUUGGAGGACUAUUUUGAGACUAAGGCCCGUUGCACACGAACCGAUAAAAUCGGAGUCCGAUCUGGUACCUAGCUAGUGGAAACACAUUUCGAGACUUGCAUUACACAUACAGAUUGGGAGAAUCUACUAUCCGAAAUAUUGUAAAAUUGGUAUGUCGCACUAUAUGGGCAACAUUCCAUGAAGAAUAUCCUCCCCUGCCAAACCAAGAAAAAUUUUUAGAAAUAGCUAAUGGAUUCAGGAAGACAGCACAAUUCCCUAACUGCAUCGGUGCAGUAGACGGGAAACAUAUGGCCCAUUCAAGAGCUAUUCUAUGCUACCACAUAGCCAUGAUGGUUUUAAAAAAUGUCGACGCGGCAACUCAAAAUAAUCCUGACAUCGCAACGGACAACGACAUAGGAAACUACGUUCCACUUAAGCCUGUAAAUUUAAAUGAUCUGGGGGAAACUGCUAAUAAAGCUUCUUUUAUUCGUAAUAUUGAAAAACCAAUCAUGCCAAAUAAAUUGGUAGACUAUUCAUCCAGUUCAGAAUCAAAAAACGAUGAAAAUAAAACUCCUAAAAACAAUAGACGCGACUCUGACAAAUAUUCUUUUCAUGAAGAAAAAGAUUCCGAUAUGAGCUUUUCUGAUUCAGAAGGUGAGAUAUCAGAUGGAUGUGCAGCAAACUAACGGAGCAAGAGCGACAUGAGAAUAUUAUUGGGGUUUAGGCAGUCGUUCCAAACAAAGGGUUUGGCUUCUAUCAUGGCUAAAAGAACGAGAAGUAAAAAGAAGACGAGUAAAUGACGUUAACCUUAGUAGAAGAAAUAAAACCUUCAUUUACACAAUAAAAUGGAAUGAAAAGGAAAUUAAGGUUUGCCAACAAUUUAUUCUAAAAACCCUUUGGAUCUCACAGAUGACUUUACGCUAUACUAAGGAAAAUGCAGUAACUGGAAUAUUUCCCAAAGUCGAUCAAAGAGGCAGACACAACCCACCUCAUAAAACUUCAAUUGAAGACAAAAAUGAAGUUCAUGACUUUAUUAAAAAGUUACCCGCAGUUGCAUCACAUUAUUGCAGAUCAAGCACAACUAAAAAAUACUUACCCAGAGAACUAAGAAAUGUAUA